GUGAACGCUGGCGGCGUGGAUAAGUCAUGCAAGUCGAAAGGAUUUAGAUCCUUGGCGAACGAGGUAGUAACGCGUAGGAACGUGCCCGGAAGUCGGGGAUAAUCAGUCGAAAGAUUGGAUAACACCCGAUAGUCUCGCAAGAGUAAAAAUUUAUUGCUUCCGGAGCGGCCUGCGUAGCAUCAGCUAGUUGGUUAGGUAAUUGCUGACCAAGGCUUUGACGCUUAGGGGGGCUGAGAGGCCGAUCCCCACCGAUGAGACUGCGACACGGCUCAUACUCCUACGGGAGGCUGCAGACGAGAAUAUUCGACAAUGGGCGUAAGCCUGAUCGAGCGACGCCGCGUGAUGGAUGAAGUGCUUCGGUACGUAAACAUCUUUUAUGGAGGAGGAAUUUUUGACGUUACUCCAUGAAUAAGGGGCUCCUAACUCUGU
rnacentral:rRNA from 1 species